rnacentral:pre_miRNA from 14 species
AUCACUCGGGGAACUUGUUAAGCUACAAGUCUGAUUCAGUAAGUCUGAUGGGCCUGAGAUUCUGCAUUUCCAACAAGCUCCCAGGUGAUGC